GCGGCCUCCUCCGGCGCUCAUUAUGACCUGCAAGGCGUCUGCGGCAGCUGCGUUUUCCUUGGUCAAAUUCAGGCAGCAGGUGGAACCUGUCAUAUUAUGUGAACAGAGAAUCAUGGAUAGAUUGAUUCUGAAUCCUAUCCACUGCUGCUGUGCAGUGACUGAGUUUUUGAAGCAACAGAAGGUACAUCAUCUAAAUUUGGCUGUUGACUCAGAAAGCAAAACGAGGCAUGGCGAGCAAAUUACUCCUACAUGAAUCAAGGUAAAACAAGCAAUGCACAAUGCAAGCAACUUUUAUAUGCUUAUUAUCCUAAUAGAUCUGCAUGAUGCAAGCCAAACAUAGCAAACCGUAGCUCAGGUCAAAAGGCAGCCCAUGCUAACUCAGAACAAGAUUUCUUGUCAUCCUAAAGAUGGUAUUACUACAAAUCCCAUCAAGAUAAAGCAGCAACUCUCCUAGUGCCUUUCAUAAUUACACCCAUAAAUAAAAAAUGCUAUUCCUAACACAACAAAAGGACACCAUGUGAAAGGAAGACUGUAAUCAUUCAUGGAGUUGUGAGAUGUCGGGCUUAAAAUAACAGUACACAAACACUAGAUGGUUAUCCAUCUAAUUGGACGGCAGGUGUCCUACACAUAAAAGCUAAUGGUCCAUCUGGCUUUUAUAAUGAUGCAUUAUGGCAUCAGAUAGUGACACACUUAGCACUGGCACAGCUCAAUUAUAAAAUCUUGACAUUUUUAUGAAUACUCAUUGUUAGUAAUUUGACCAUAAAGGAAAUGAUAGUAGCUUCAACGUAACCAAAAGUCUGAACCAAGUCUCUAACAACAAUUACUACCUCCGUCCUAAAUAAAGCUACAACAAUCAUAAAAUCUUGACAUUUUUAUGAAUUCUCAUUUGUAGUAAUUUGGCCCGUAAAGGAAAUGAUAGUAGCCUCAACAUAACCAAAAGUCUGAACCAAGUCUCUAACAACAGUUAUUACUUCCGUCCUAAAUAAAGCUAUUUCUAGCUAUGAAUUUGGACAGGUACAUUUUGGAACAGAUAUAUUAGUACGAAGACACUAGAUAUAUAAGGCAACAGAAAUUGUUGGUUUGCUCUGAAAAGGGGGGAACUGGUAUGAAGUAAGUACAAGGCAAAGAUAUUUGUGGGCUAGUGCUACAAAUAUGGAAUGUAGAAAUACUACUACAUAUUCUCUAGUAUGUUUCUCUUACUUCCCUUCAUCCUUAAGGGCCCCUUUGAAACGCAGGAUAGGAAAAACAUAGGAAUAGGAAAAACGUAGGAAUUGAAGUUGUAUGUUUUUCCAAUCCUACAGGAAUUGAAAACACAUGAAAUGGAGAGAAGAGCCCUUUGAUUAUACCACAAGAUACACUCAACAAAGGAAAGUUUCACAAGAGGUCUAACCUCUUGCUUAUUUUCCUAUGGAAUUGAUCAUAGGAAUGCAAUCCUACGGAAGUUUUCCUAUCCUCUUUCUAUGAAUCAAAGGGCUCUAUAGGAAAAAAUCCUUAGGAAAAUGAAUCCUCCAAAAUUCCUUUGCUAAUCCUCCAUUUCAAAGGGGCCCUAAGUGUUGCUAGUAAAAAAUUAAAGCAUCAAACAGUCCAAGCUAUCCAUAGACUAUUACAAGAGGGGCAGAUAUCAAAACAGGCAUAUGCUUGUCAGCUAAUGAGACAAACUAUUAAAUAAAAGUAACAAAUGCACAGAAGUGGUAGUAUAGAUUAUGAACAACUGGCGAGGCGUUGGAACUUGGACUAUGCUACCAUAUGCUACCAUACAGAAGUGGUAGUAUGCUCAGUAGUAGUAAGGAUCUAUAGAUAACUGAAAACCUUGAGCUCAAGUCACAGCAUAGUAGGAGUUGCAUAUCUUGCAACACAAAGACACAUAUAUAGUACAAACUACAAAGCAACAGCUUUAGCCAACUUCUCUCUCCCAUUCUUACCGUGGCCAUUGCUAAGCUUGCAACAUCAACGGAAUUUUAUAGCUAAUGGCUAAUUAACUAAGUAGAGUAAGCACCAGUACAAAUAAACAGUGGCUCUUACUAACACAGAGGAAUCUUAUGCAAAGCGGCAGGCAGGCAGGCAGACAGGCAAGUCACAUCACUCAACCAUAUAAAGGAGUAUUUUCCUCAUCAACCUACCAACUUAAAAAUCUCAUAAGCACCAGUCAAAAUAUUAACACUACUAGUGUAGUACUCCCAACACAAUCAAAGAUAAAAAUAGAUGAAAUGCAGGAAGUUUCAGAGAGUUGAAAUCAGCUUGUUUUAGCAGGAAAGGUCCCACACACACCACUUGACAGUGCAUCUAAUGUGGUGGCCGUGCUCAUAAACCUUAAAAACCUAUAGUAAAACGAGUAGUAACAACAACACAAUAACCCAAAAGACAAAACGGCACAACAAUAACAACACAUGUACUAGCACUAAACAAGAACAAGAAGCAAAUAAACAAGAGAGAUAGGUGAAAGAGGAGGGAGAGCAAGCAAAGCAAAGCAAAAGCAGUGGUGACAUCAGCAAUGGCGAGGUGAGUGAGAGAGUGACCUGCUGCACUGCUGGCAGAAGCGCUGCUCGAGGCCGGCGACGACGACGCGGGGAGCCUUGGAAUGCAUGAAGCACACCUUGUGGCGGCAGUAGUAGUUCUUGAUCCCGCUCAGAUCCGCGCCGCACCCCUCCACCUGGCACCGCGGCGGCGGCGGCGGCGGCGGUGGCGCCGCCGCGGCCACGCCCUUCCCCUUGUUCUUGCCCCCUCCGCCGCGUCCACCACCCGCCGCCUUGGAAGACGAGGACGGCGGCGCGGCGCUCGCGCUGCCACUGCCACUGCCAGUGCCGCCGCCGCCUGCUGCCGCGGCGGCGUCCUCGAAGUAGAUCUUCUUGCCGAACUUGAGACCGUGCAGCUGGCGGUGCUCGUCCCCUCCACCACCACCGCCGCCGCUGCCGCCUACUCCGCCGCCGGCGGCGGCGGCGGCGCCUCCUCCACUGGCCAUCUCCAUUGCUCGCGGUCGCGGGUGGGAAGGAGACUGUAGCGCGCGUGGCUCUUGGCGCGGCCCCCCCUCCUCUUCUCCUCUCUCUCCUCCAGGAGAGGGGGAGAGAGAAGAGAGAGGAAAGAGACGGAAAGGUGGCGAAGCCCAGCGAGCGACACACACACAAGUAGAAGUAGUGCGGUGCCCUCUCUCUCUCUCUCUCUCCGCCCUUAAAAACCACUUAAAAUAAAAAUUAUCCUCACACCCUCACACGCGCGCCGAGAAAAUCGAGUGGAGAUGUCAUUGGUUAUCUUCUUAUAGCAGGGUACAAGGGCAGUAGCAAUGCGUCCUAGCAAAUUGUUAUACCACAGCUGCAACAUAGGUGGUUUGGGAACUCUAAAUGACACUGCACCCACAGUAUAAGUGUGGUUUAGAAAAUUUAUAAUGGGACCCAUAGAUAAUAUAAAAAAUCUCACCCUUCCCCCACCCUCCACCUAAUUCUCUCGUGUCUUCUCCAGGGCGGCCAUGGCAGCGUGCUCCGGCAGGCGCGGCGGAGCUCGGCAGCACCGGCGAACGGCGCGGCAGAGCUCGGCGGUGGGGCAGCCCAAGCGCGGCGCCGCCUCUCCUCCUCCAACCGGGUGGAGCGGCC
rnacentral:lncRNA from 1 species